rnacentral:tRNA from 1 species
GGCUACGUAGCUCAUCUGGUUAGAGCACAGCAUUCAUAAUGCUGGGGUCGGUGGUUCAAGUCCACCCGUAGCUACCA